rnacentral:rRNA from 1 species
GAGUUUGAUCAUGGCUCAGAACGAACGCUGGCGGCAGGCCUAACACAUGCAAGUCGAGCGAGACCUUCGGGUCUAGCGGCGGACGGGUUAGUAACGCGUGGGAAUAUGCCCAAAGGUACGGAAUAGCCCCGGGAAACUGGGAGUAAUACCGUAUGUGCCCUUCGGGGGAAAGAUUUAUCGCCUUUGGAUUAGCCCGCGUUGGAUUAGGUAGUUGGUGGGGUAAUGGCCUACCAAGCCGACGAUCCAUAGCUGGUUUGAGAGGAUGAUCAGCAACACUGGGACUGAGACACGGCCCAGACUCCUACGGGAGGCAGCAGUGGGGAAUCUUGGACAAUGGGGGAAACCCUGAUCCAGCCAUGCCGCGUGAGCGAUGAAGGCCUUAGGGUUGUAAAGCACUUUCACUUGGGAAGAAAGGCUGGGGGCUAAUACCUUUCAGCUGUGACAUUACCUUGAGAAGAAGCACCGGCUAACUCCGUGCCAGCAGCC